rnacentral:RNase_P_RNA from 1 species
GCAGAGGGAAGCUCACUGGUGGGGCUACGAGCUGAGUGCACCUUGUCACUUUACCCCAUGUCCUCUGGGAAGGUCUGAGACUAGGACCAAGAGCGGCCCUAACGGGGCGCGCCCUGAGCUGCAGGGAGGUGACUGGGGGAGGUGGAGGCAACUAAAAAAGGCCUCAGCCCAGUUUUUUUAAAUGGCCCAAUGGGAUAUAAUAAGACCUAAGUGACGUGUGAGGAAACAGGUGAUCCCAUAGU